GUAACGUUGGGCCACUAGAUUGGGGGACAUUCCCACGUUUUCCGCCGUCGUAGCUAACGCAUUAAGUGGCCCCGCCUGGGGAGUACGGCCCGCAAGGCUAAAAACCUCAAAGGAAUUGACGGGGGCCCGCACAACGNCGGAGCAUGCUGAUUAAUUCGAUGCAACGCGAAGAACCUUACCAAGGCUUGACAUGCACCGGGCGACUGCAGAGAUGUGGUUUUCUUCGGACUGGUGCACAGGUGGUGCAUGGUUGUCGUCAGCUCGUGUCGUGAGAUGUUGGGUUAAGUCCCGCAACGAGCGCAACCCUCGUUCUAUGUUGCCAGCACGUCAUGGUGGGGACUCAUAGGAGACUGCCGGGGUCAACUCGGAGGAAGGUGGGGACGACGUCAAAUCAUCAUGCCCCUUAUGUCUUGGGCUUCAAGCAUGCUACAAUGGUCGGUACAAUGGGUUGCGAAACUGUGAGGUGGAGCGAAUCCCAAAAAGCCGGCCUCAGUUCGGAUUGGGGUCUGCAACUCGACCCCAUGAAGUCGGAGUCGCUAGUAAUCGCAGAUCAGCAACGCUGCGGUGAAUACGUUCCCGGGCCUUGUACACACCGCCCGUCAAGUCACGAAAGUCGGUAACACCCGAAGCCAGUGGCCCAUCCUCGUGAGGGAGCUGUCGAAGGUGGGAUUGGUGAUUGGGACUAACGUCGUAACAAGGUAGCCGUACCGGAAGGUGCGGCUGGAUCACCU
rnacentral:rRNA from 1 species